GAGUCCUUAGCUCAGCCGGUAGAGCAACUGACUUUUAAUCAGUAGGUCGUGG
rnacentral:tRNA from 1 species